GACGAACGCUGGCGGCGUGCCUAAUACAUGCAAGUUGAGCGCUGAAGGUUGGUACUUGUACCUACUGGAUGAGCAGCGAACGGGUGAGUAACGCGUGGGGAAUCUGCCUUUGAGCGGGGGACAACAUUUGGAAACGAAUGCUAAUACCGCAUAAAAACUUUAAACACAAGUUUUAAGUUUGAAAGAUGCAAUUGCAUCACUCAAAGAUGAUCUCGCGUUGUAUUAGCUAGUUGGUGAGGUAAAGGCUCACCAAGGCGAUGAUACAUAGCCGACCUGAGAGGGUGAGCGGCCACAUUGGGACUGAGACACGGCCCAAACUCCUACGGGAGGCAGCAGUAGGGAAUCUUCGGCAAUGGACGAAAGUCUGACCGAGCAACGCCGCGUGAGUGAAGAAGGUUUUCGGAUCGUAAAACUCUGUUGGUAGAGAAGAACGUUGGUGAGAGUGGAAAGCUCAUCAAGUGACGGUAACUACCCAGAAAGGGACGGCUAACUACGUG
rnacentral:rRNA from 1 species